UUGAAAGGGAAACGAUUGAAGUCAGUCAUACCAACGGGAAAUCAACCUUUUGAGCUUGGUCUCGUGGGUUUUGAAGAGUUUCAAAGCCUUCGGAUUCGCGGGAUUGGGAUCUCUCGGUGUACUUUUUCGUACGGUUAGUCAACAUCGGUUUUGAAUGUCAUAAAAUGACUGGAGGAAUGUAGCUUCGAUCUCGUAUUGAAGUGUUAUAGCCUUUGGUAGAUGUGAUGUUUGAGACCGAGGAUUGCAACGGAUACCCUUCAGGGCUAUUCGUCUGAUCUCUGAUACGUUGCCUUGAUGUUGAAAGCUUGCUUAUGAUGUUAGGGUAUUACGGUCAAAAGGUUAGAACGAAUUACAUUCGUUAAGGAUGUUGACGUA
rnacentral:rRNA from 2 species